rfam:Pantoea vagans C9-1, complete genome.
CUGCUGCUAACGAGUAACAACAAACGGCAGAUUUACCAGGAACCACCUCAUUUACCCGCCCGGCUCCCCCGUGCGGGUUUUCUU